GUCCAUUAACUUAAGCAUUCUACUCUCUCUCUCUAAAACUCAGAUAUUCAAAAUUCUCUGCCUUCUCUCUACCAAAUCUCUGCCUUCUCUCUACCAUUUCUCCUCUCCGAGCCAUUUGAUUUCCGAUACGGUGGUGCCCAAGCGUGCACAACAUAGAGGACUCCGUCUUUGACCGAUCAGUUUCUUCAUUCUGAUCGGGUUUUGGUUGAGUUCUUGCUGCAAAAGGUACGAUUGAGGUGUUCUUGUGAGCUGGUCAGUUUGUACUUAAGAGGUGGAUGAGGUGCCUAUAGAGCAGGCUUUGGAGGGAGAUGAUGCUGCAGCUUAGUCUAGUUAUGACUCUUAGUUAUUCCUUAUCCUUUUGAAAUACUCUAAUCUACUUAAGUUUUAAAUUAUGACUUCUUUUGGGAUGAUUGUA